CUUCGGGUCUAGUGGCGCACGGGUGCGUAACGCGUGGGGAUCUACCAUGGGGUGCGGAAUAACUCAGAGAAAUUUGAGCUAAUACCGCAUAAUGUCUUCGGACCAAAGAUUUAUCGCCCUUUGAUGAACCCGCGUAAGAUUAGCUUGUUGGUGAGGUAAAGGCUCACCAAGGCUACGAUCUUUAGCUGGUCUGAGAGGAUGAUCAGCCACACUGGGACUGAGACACGGCCCAGACUCCUACGGGAGGCAGCAGUGGGGAAUAUUGGACAAUGGGGGAAACCCUGAUCCAGCAAUGCCUGAAGGCCUUAGGGUUGUAAAGCUCUUUUACUAGGGAUGAUAAUGACAGUACCUAGAGAAUAAGCUCCGGCUAACUCCGCGCCAGCAGCCGCGGUAAUACGGAGGGAGCUAGCGUUGUUCGGAAUUACUGGGCGUAAAGCGCGCGUAGGCGGUUACUCAAGUCAGAGGUGAAAGCCCGGAGCUCAACUCCGGAACUGCCUUUGAAACUAGGUAACUAGAAUCUUGGAGAGGCGAGUGGAAUUCCGAGUGUAGAGGUGAAAUUCGUAGAUAUUCGGAAGAACACCAGUGG
rnacentral:rRNA from 1 species